GGAUGUGAGGGCGAUCUGGCUGCGACAUCUGUCACCCCAUUGAUCGCCAGGGUUGAUUCGGCUGAUCUGGCUGGCUAGGCGGGUGUCCCCUUCCUCCCUCACCGCUCCAUGUGCAUCCCUCCCGAAGCUGCGCGCUCGGUCGAAGAGGACGACCUUCCCCGAUAGAGACGGUACCGUUCAUCGGUCAAGGGUAUACGGU
rnacentral:snRNA from 1 species